rnacentral:rRNA from 1 species
UACGUAGGGUGCGAGCGUUAAUCGGAAUUACUGGGCGUAAAGCGUGCGCAGGCGGUUUUGUAAGCCGGGUGUGAAAUCCCCGGGCUUAACCUGGGAAUGGCAUUCGGGACUGCAAGGCUGGAGUGCGGCAGAGGAGACUGGAAUUCCGGGUGUAGUGGUGGAAUGCGUAGAGAUCCGGAGGAACACCAGCGGCGAAGGCGGCAUCCUGGACUGGUCCUGACACUCAUGAGCGAAAGCGUGGGGAGCGAUCCGG